rnacentral:rRNA from 1 species
AUGCACAAUGUGCUACCGCAUGCAGAGUUUACUAUCCUGGUAGUUACACUGUGGGCGUUAUGGUCUUCCCGCCGUAAAGCGAUCCAUGAGCAUAUCUAUCAGAGCCCUUUUUCAGUCCAUGCUUUCAUCCAGUCUUACAUCAAUGAGCUCAAGGUUGUUCAGACAGGCACGGCGAGGCCACCGGGCGCUCCGAUACAGCGACCAACGGGCUGGAUCGCUCCACCGGCGGGGCUUACAAAAAUAAACGUCGAUGCUGCAGUGGGAAGGGGAAGGAAACACGGAGCCGUGUCGGCAAUAUCAAGAGAUAGCACUGGCCAGUUUUUGGGUGCAUCGGUGGUGGUCUUUGGAGGCAUAUCCGAUCCAGCGACACUCGAAUGUAUGGCGGUCAGAGAGGCACUAGCCCUCGCUGAAGAUCUGAAUGUGACAGACAUCAAAGUGGCAUCCGACUCGAAGGUGGUGGUCAAUGACAUCCGAGAUAAGAAUCCAACGGAGUAUGGAGCGAUCAUACAUGAAAUAAUGGAACGUAGUUCAUCUUUCCUUUUUUGUAACUUUUGUCAUGAAUUUAGGAGCUCGAACACCGAGGCUCACAAGCUCGCGAGGCACGCUUUAUCCUUUCCGGUUGGCCGACAUGUUUGGUUGGGCCAGCCGGAUGGACUUUCGUUCGUCCAUGUAAACAUUGUGACGUCAUAA